AUGGACAAGUUUCUUCUCAAAAGAAAAGCAUCAUCACAGGAUGUUCCGGAAGAAAUAAAUUGGGAAGAGGAGAUUCAAUAUGAUCCGGGCAAGAGAAAAUUGAUUGAGCAUUAUCAUCCUAAUUUAAAAGAUCUGGUAAGAAGGAAGUAUUUGUUGAAUGGACCUUGUCAGCCAAGAGAGAUUGAUUUUGAAUCCUCAGAUUUUGGGGGUAAACAGAGAAAGUUCAAUCCCGAAUGGUUUGAUGAAUUUGAGAGCUGGCUUGAAUACAGCGAAGAGAAGAAAAGGGCAUAUUGUUUUCCUUGCUUCUUAUUUAGGGAUCGUAGUCAGAAGAAAGAAGCUGGAUAUGAGGCAUUCGUUGUGAAUGGUUGGAAGAGCUGGAACAUGAAAUCAAGGUUAAAAGAACAUGUUGGUGAGGUGGGCAGUGUCCAUAAUCAAGCAAUGAAAAAAUUACUUGAUUUUCAGAAAAAAGAUCAACACAUUGAUGUUGCUAUGCAGGUUCAAGGUGAAACUUUGAAGGUUGCAUAUUUUGCUCGAUUGAAUGCCGCUAUUGACACANNNNNNNNNNCUAGACUAUUGCUGAAGCAAGGGUUGCCUUUCCGGGGACAUGAUGAGUCAAAGAACUCGCAUAAUAGAGGAAACUUCUUGGAAGUUCGUGAUUUCUUAGCUGAGCAUGAUCCAGUUGUACGCAAGGCUGUGGGAAAAGAUGCUGCAAAGAAUUCUCUUAUGUCGGCUCCUGAAGUCCAGAAAGAUAUUGGUGAAGGUUUUGCGCAUGUGAUAGUGCAAUCUAUUCUGAAAGAAGUUCGCAAUAAUGUGUUUUGUUUGCUUGUUGACGAGUCUAGAGAUGUCUCUGGCAAAGAACAAAUGGCCGUGGCCUUGAGGUAUGUUGAUAGUUCCGGGGAUUCUAAAGAAAGUUUUGUUGGUCUUGUCCAUGUGAAAGAAACAACGUCUUCAUACCUCAAGAGUUCAAUUGAUUCUCUUUUUGCAAAAUAUAAACUGAGUUACAAUCAAGUUAGAGGACAGGGGUAUGAUGGUGCUAGCAAUAUGCGAGGUCAGUUUAAUGGCCUCAAAUCAUUGAUCAUGAGAGAAAGUAGCACAGCUUAUUAUGUUCAUUGCUUUGCUCACCAACUUCAGUUAGUUGUUGUGGCUGUCGUAAGAAAGCAUAAAGGAGUUAGUAAUUUCUUCAGCAUGAUUUCUACCUUGCUAAAUGUUGUGGGUGGAUCUUCCAAGCGAAGGGACAUGAUUAGAGAUAUUAAUCUUGAAGAAAUGAGAAAGGCUUUAGGGUGUGGACAGCUUACAACAGGAACAGGAUUAAAUCAAGAGCAAUGCCUUCAAAGGCCCGGAGACACUCGAUGGGGUUCCCAUGCUAAAACACUUAAGAGUUUGCUUCACAUGUUCAGGUCAGUUGUUAAAGUUCUAGAAUUUGUGGAAGAAGAAGACACUGAUAGAACAAAUAGAGACCAAGCAAAUGGUCUUCUAGUGUAUUUUCAAUCUUUUGACUUCGUAUUCUAUUUGCAUCUUAUGUUGACAAUCCUCACGACUACAAACACAUUGUCAUUAGCAUUGCAACGGAAGGAUCAAGACAUAGUAAAUGCCAUGAAAUGUGUGAAGUCAACUAGAAUUGUUCUGAAUGAACUUAGAGAAAAUGAAUGGGAAUCUAUGCUAGGUGAAGUUCAUGUGUUUUGUGAGACACAUGAUAUUGUAGAGUUGGACAUGGAAGAAGCAUAUGUUAAUCCAAAAAAGAGAAGGCAGGUAACUGGAAUUACCAACAAACAUCACUAUCAAGUUGAUUGUUUCAAUGAUGUUUUUGAUUGGCUAGUUCAAGAGCUUGACAAUCGGUUCAGUGAGACAUCCACUAAUUUGCUUGUUUGGUCAGCGGCUUUGAGUCCAAGAGACUCAUUUCGUGAUUUCAAUUUGGAGAAUCUUAUGAGUUUGGCUAAACUAUACCCUCAAGAUUUUGAUUCUGGGGAAUUGAGGGAUCUGGAUAAGGAUCUACGCCUCUAUAUUGCUGAUGUACGCACAGAUGAUAGUUUUUUCAACAUAGCAACAAUCACUGAGCUUUCGAAAAAAAUGGUGCAGACAGGGAGGCACAUUGUGUAUCCUUUGUUUUAUCGGUUGUUGAAACUAGUAAUUGUCUUGCCUAUUGCCACUGCUACAGUUGAGAGAUGCUUUUCAGCUAUGAAACUGGUCAAAACCUGCUUGCGCAGUCGCCUCAAUGAUGAUAGUUUGAGUGAUGAUCUUAUUUGUUAUGUGGAGAAAGAAGAAAUGAAAAAGGUCACCAAUGCUCAAGUGGUUGAGUAUUUCAUGGCUCGGAGGAACAGAACAUACUAA
rnacentral:rRNA from 1 species